CUACUCACAUCUUUCUUAGGGAUCUUCGGAGUGGUGUUUUUAAACUUGGACGUCUUGAAGCGGUUCAUUCUCGGCUCUUCACUGAUCGUCUCGUGCCUUCCGGGUGGCGCUGCGCUGUCACUCUCAGCUUUAGUGAAGCAGAAGGAGAGAAAUCCUGAGCGCUGAUUGGCUGAGCUUCAUAAGUGUCCUGUUUGUAUGUCGACCGGAUAGUGAAGACACCUUCGCUCAGGGCUCUGUGACUCGCUUUUCACUUCCUUCCAGUUCCCUUUUGGUUUCAGUAAUACCACACGCAAUGAGCUUAGUUUUGUUCGACCACAACAUAGGUGUUACGGUUUGAUGUGUUCACGGCAAAGAUUUAUGAAGGGGUGUUUCCACGUUGACUGCAAGCCCUUUGGUGAUAGCUGUGAACGUGGAUGUUUCCUUCAGGCCUGCGCAAAGGAAUUCUAAGGUGGAGUCCAGUGUGUGCUGUACUGGCCCCACCCUUUACACUCAAGAUUCAUCUGCCAUGGCCCAGCAAGCUGGGACGAUGACAGCAAGGUCCUUGGGUCGUAGGUUUUACAUCGGACUGUCCUUGUCCUAGAUGGAUUGCCUGCCAGGGCUACCGAGUUCCAUCUCCCUGAGUGCUAUUUACCUAUAGCUGGGGUCUGCUGCAUGGGCAACAGGGCGUGUCCACACAUCAGUGGGCCAUGCAUGCCGCAUGUCUGGAGGCCAGACCUCCUCCAAGCUCCCAGCAGUUUAGCCUGGGGCCUUACGGUGCCCAGUUUCCAUCUGUAGCCACAUGGAGGCACUGCAUGGGACUUGCUGUGGAGAGGCUAUGUACUGGCAGGAAAGACUUAUGCACCCGGCUCUCUUUUCACGGUGCUAUGGAGCAGCACUGCUAGCCAGUGGUGAGGCUGAAGGCAAGAGGUGCUGUGGUGAGCAGAAAAACAUCUCAGCAUGCAACAGCAGAAGACCACACUGGGUUCCAUUCCUGCCAGCCAAGAACAAGAAUCUUAGAAUCAACAAGAAGUUCCUAUUAAAGUAGCCGUUGAGUGUACGCUCGAUGUUACAGCCACUACACUUGUUAUUCAGAAAAGCAAAGAAUAUCCAAAUACAGGAUGAGCCGAUAUGGGCGGCUGCACACCACCACCCCUGGAGGCGUCUCAAUGUGGUGCUCUGAGAUUAGUGUGCCCUGGUACAGGU